rnacentral:lncRNA from 13 species
AGAAGUCUCUGGGGAUUUAUAUGCGUCGGUUUUGUUUGUGAGGGCGCCCAUUUGGGGUCUCCGCGCCUACCGCGGGCAUCGGGUGGGCCUCCUGGGCAUCGGGGAGCAGCGGCCAAAGCAGGGCGACGCGGGCAGGAGGACCGGCCGGGGGGCACUCACCGUACAGGUCUCGCCGCCUCCGCCACUGAGGAGCUCGCGUCCACCCGAGCGGGACUCCUCCUCCGAACGCCCUUCCCAACCGCCAGACGCCCGCGAGCAGAGUUAAGAAAACUUUUUUCUUUUGAGCUAUUCAUAGCUUACAAAAAUCGGGUAAAUAUACCUUUGUGGGCAAAUUUGAAGUAUUUGCCUUUCUCACUACUGGAUUUCUCCAAAAUUUGAAAACUGUAAACAGGAUUAUACCACAUGACCAAGUGGGAUUUUCCCAAGGAAUGCAAGGCUGACUCAACAUACAAAAAUAAAUCAACACACUGUAACA